rnacentral:rRNA from 1 species
GACGAACGCUGGCGGCGUGCUUAACACAUGCAAGUCGAACGGAAAGGCCCUGCUUUUGUGGGGUGCUCGAGUGGCGAACGGGUGAGUAACACGUGAGUAACCUGCCCUUGACUUUGGGAUAACUUCAGGAAACUUGGGCUAAUACCGGAUAGGAGCUCCUGCUGCAUGGUGGGGGUUGGAAAGUUUCGGCGGUUGGGGAUGGACUGGCGGCUUAUCAGCUUGUUGGUGGGGUAGUGGCUUACCAAGGCUUUGACGGGUAGCCUGCCUGAGAGGGUGAACGGCCACAUUGGGACUGAGGUACGGCCCAGACUCCAACGGGAGGCAGCAGUGGGGAAUAUUGCACAAUGGGCGGAAGCCUGAUGCAGCAACGCCGCGUGCGGGAUGACGGCCUUCGGGUUGUAAACCGCUUUCGCCUGUGACGAAGCGUGAGUGACGGUAAUGGGUAAAGAAGCACCGGCUAACUACGUG